AAUGUGUUUUGAGAAGAGACUUAAAGACACUUACUGAGACAAUCUAAUUUCUUCGGGCAAGUUGUUCCAGAGCCUCGGGGCCCUGACAGGAAAAGCUCUGUCCCCCUUAGUUUUCAACCUGGACUCAGGCAACAGGAGGUUUCCUUCUUGGAAUCAUCAAGAUGUGAUUUGUGUAGUUUAAGGCACAAAAACAUCUCCCGAUGUCGAUGUCCUCAUAAGCUCUCAGUCACUCUGGUGUGUUUACCUCCUCACUGAUAAUGUCGCUCUGAAACCCAUCUUUUGAUCAUGUUGUCUUUUGGACAUCUCAGGUCAACAAGACAACAGACAGUCAUCUAACAAUGAUGGAACACAACAGGAAAUGGAACUUGAAAUGCUUGGAAAUGGAGGAAUAAAUGGAGCAACACCUCGUCAGAAUGAUGGAAACCAAACAGUCACCUCUCUGCUUCGGGGAAAUCAAGACUCAAAUGCACAAGAAGUGGAAGCAGAAAUAUCUGGAGACAGUUGAAACUCUGCACUGAGGACUGAAGGAUGACAUGAUGCAGUAAUGUACUCUCUGAGUGAACAUGUAAACUUUUGGUCUUCCAGCAUCUCAGGGAAGGAUGAUCUUUCAAAUGUGGUUUCUUCUUCACUGGAAACUUGAAGUUAACAAAAUUAAAUAAAUUUUUAAAAACAGCAAAGCCAAAAUAGACCAGUAUUAAGUUGGUAGAUGAAAUAAUUUGAAGUUUGGGAACUGUCAUAUUGGGGAAAGCCUCGUGAACUAGACCUUCAAUUCUGUGUUGGAGACAUUUGGCUAACACAUCCUUCACAGGCUGAUUAAUGAAGGACAAGGACACUUUGCACUGCGCUGCCUCUACGCUACAAUACGCUUUGCAGGGAUGUUUUUGGGAGACUCUGGCUGAUGAAGUACAGCAUGCUGUUGCAGCUCUGCCUCAUGUCCUGAUGUUCCACUAAUAUUAAAAACAGACUCAGAGAGACUGUUGGACUGGAACAGAGGCAGCUCUGGUUUGUCUGUAAAAAGCACAAGUUAGAUAAGUAGAUGGUAAACUUAUCAGCCACAGACUUAAUGUUUGGAGCUUUGCUACCAGCUGGUGGUUAUUUAUGAUCGAGUGGUUUACUACGGUGCUAAGAAAUAGAAAUAUAAGCUGGGAUGGGGUUAUGCAUAACACACACUUACUGUUGGUUAUUUACCAUGUGAGAUUUCUGUAUUUGUGUCUUUCCUCACUGGUUUGAAGUAAAAAGGUGAUGUCACAUAUUUCAGUGGACCAAUCAGAGUUGAGCAGCAUUUGAAUCAAGUUUUUAAACUCUUUAUAAAUAACUAAGAACGUUUUUUCUUACAAACUUUAACUGUGUUGCUUAUUUAGUCGUGAAUAUUUAAUGUUAUAGAGAAAUGCUGAAGUUUUCAGGGGCUUUAAAGGAUCAGCGUGACAUUUAGGGACAUACACUUUGUCGUUUACUCUCUUUCGGUUUAAGAGAACAUCAGUGCCACAUUUUCAGUCACACAUUUUUCAUUUGCAAAUAACUGAAGUGAAAUAGCAGAACUUCAGAAAGCUGAGAAUUGAGCUUGGCUAAAGUUGGCAAAUGAGUUACAGAAGAGUUUCUGCCAUUGUUUCAAUUUUGUUGUUUGUUUGGUCGUUUUAAGAAUAUUUGAAUUUGUGUUUUACCGUAGGAGCAGCUUUGUGUUUCUACUUUUUAGGAGUCAACAGUUCAUUACCAUUUUUAAUGAGCUUUUACUGUAAUAUUUUAUUAUUUUACUUCAAUAAAAAUCUAUUUUGAAGUCUA